rnacentral:scRNA from 1 species
GGCCCCUGCACCUGCACCUG